UUCUUUUCUCGGUCUUUUGGCUAAGAUCAGAUGUGGUAUCUGUUCUUGUUAGUUUAAUAUUUUCAGUAUUUUAAGUAUUUUUGAAGUAUUUCGUGAUAUUAUCGGUAAUUUCGUGAUAUUAUCGGUAAUAUCGCGAUAUUUUGACGAAAACUUCUUGGAUACCUAUUAAAAUAUCGGUAAAGCAAAAAACCGAUA